AUAUGACACAUCCAUUUGGCAAACAUUAACUAGAAGCCUUUGCCACAUACCAGCCAUCUACUGUGCAACUGCUAGGCACCAGACACUUGGCCCUUGGGAAACCUGCACUCAAAGCAGUGAUCUUCAGACCCUUUCCUGGAAGAAGCUAAGCUCUGUGCCUGGGCUGCACUUUCCCAAGGACUGUCUCCUCUCUGCUCCAUCAAGCACCUGACUUACAAAAACUUCUGCUUUUGCACACAGGCAUCACUGGCUCCUUUCGACAGCGCGGUCACUCCUACAACGCAGGGAAGGCAGAAGGUAUUAGGCUACUGAAAAGACAGCAACACCAUGCCCAAUGUGCCUUCUGCUUGCCAGCCUGGGCAUCCAGGAAACUCAGGCCACAUGGCUUCCACAGUCAAUCUCCUGUGUCCCAGACCAUGAAGAUGAGAACUUUGGAGAGAUGGAUGGAACCGCUUCUCCCACGCUGCCUCAGUCAGGUCAACAGAGACAGAGAGAAAGCUGAGGGGCAGAUGGGUGAACAGCUGAGCCAGGCCUCGGGGACCUCAAUUUCUCCCGGGGAGGAGACUCAUCCACCCAAUUCUCCAGGCUCAAACCUCGGGGGACCUUCUCGAGGAGGCCAGAAUGGGUGCGAAUGAGCCACCCUGUUGCCGUCUGGUCUCAGCUCCUACAACAACAUCUCCCGGAGGAAGAGGCCUCUUUCUAAAGCAAGUGAUCACUUACUGUGAAAUCAAAGAAGCAACGUCUAAUUAAAGGGAAUAAUUAAUGGGCAAUUAGUCUGUAAUGAAUGAAUGGGCAUAGGCAGUGAUCACCAAGGCUUCUGACAUCCCACAGAAAGAAGCGAUACAGCAUGUCCUGAUAGUGCGGGCAGACACAGGAGAGAGAGGGUCUUACCCUGCCCGCCCCACUCCUCCAAGUAAAGCCACCAAAAGACUCUUUGGUCUUGAUCAAGCCCUACCUCUAGCUGCCUUUGCAGGUGAUACAGAGACAGCAGAGUGUGUCACAUACUGUGCUGAGGGUUUGGGGAUUCGGUUCCCCAAACCCAGGACAGGAAGAGUGCUGUGCAACAGGUAACCUAGUUCCUUCAGCAACACAUCACAGGAAAGAGCGCAGAUAGGAGUCACCUGAGAGCCGUGACAGCUGUCACAACAUUCAGACCUUAUUUGGAGCCAAAUCAAAAGGAAAGAUCUAUUUUUUAAAUAUGAUGGACAGAGAAAUGCAAAUACUAGUAAGACUUGUUAGCUCUGUUUAGGUAUUUUGAUAUUUUAGAUAUUUUGAUGUUU